rnacentral:lncRNA from 7 species
GCACUCGUCAUGGAAAGGCAGAAGACACUGUGACAGCAGAUGAUGACCAGCAUCUAGACAGAGAUGUGACCCAGAGGUUUUCAGAAUAGGUAAAAAUGGAAAUGGAGAUGAUACUCAGGAAUGGCCUUUGGGGAUCACCGCAUUCUGUAGUCCUCUGUGGCUCCACAGAUUUUUGUAGACCAAAAGUCAAAUGACAAUUUUUUUUUUGAGUUUCCAUACUUAGGGUUUUUUUUUUGUUUGUUGUUCUUGACGUGGACGUAUCAUAACUCACAUGCAGGCCCAUGACAAGGAGUAGGACACUUACUAUAACUCUUAUGGGUCACAAUGACUGCAAAAUAUUUUCAGACAUGUUUUCUUCUACUCAUCCAGAGUCAUCCAGAUCCUGACUCUGAAUAUUGCAUCUGCGUUUGAUUUGUGAGUCAUAAAUCCAGCAGGCGUGGAUUUCAUACAGUGAUUUCAUACAGCAUACAUGGAAAGAGUCUAAAUCAUAUUAAGUACCCUGUCUGCAGUGCCCUGAUUUUUUUUAGCUGUUAAAAAAUCAAAUUAUACAGGAUAAAAAAAGUGGCAGCCACAUUUAGGACAUUUGAUUCUAGACUUUUGCGUUUGAGGAGAAUAAUCAUUGGCAGAUAAACAUAACUCCUGUGUGGAUAGAACAAGACUUUAAAAACAUCUUCUGAUUUUUUACAAAGAGAAGCAAAUAAAAACAAUUGAAAAGGGAAAGUGUUUUAUCUCCGAGGUAAAUAAAGCUUUUGCUAUAAU